GACGAACGCUGGCGGCGUGCUUAACACAUGCAAGUCGAACGGAAAGGCCCUGCUUGCAGGGUACUCGAGUGGCGAACGGGUGAGUAACACGUGGGUGAUCUGCCCUGCACUUCGGGAUAAGCCUGGGAAACUGGGUCUAAUACCGGAUAGGAGCCAUUUUUAGUGUGAUGGUUGGAAAGUUUUUUCGGUGUAGGAUGAGCUCGCGGCCUAUCAGCUUGUUGGUGGGGUAAUGGCCUACCAAGGCGGCGACGGGUAGCCGGCCUGAGAGGGUGGACGGCCGCCUUGGGACUGAGGUGCGGCCCCGGCUCCUACGGGUGGCAACUGUGGGGAAUCUUGCACCAUGGGCGCCAGCCUGAUGCAGCGACGCCGCGGGGGGGAUGACGGCCUUCGGGUUGUAAACGCCUUUCGCUAGGGACGAAGCUUUUUGUGACGGUACCUAGAGAAGAAGCACCGGCUAACUACGUG
rnacentral:rRNA from 1 species